GCCUCCCUGGCUCAGUUGGUUAGAGCGCCAGUCUCAUAUUGUUUGUGAGGGGUCUUGGGCUCUCUAAUCUGGAGGUCGUGAGUUCGACCCUCACGGGGGGCA